UCGCUCUAACAGAAGUGUUAUCAGUACUUUCUACCAAACACAUUAACUUUGCAUUAUCAAGUUCAACACUUCUAUUCAUACAUAUAACUGUUUAUCUAUAAAAUCAAUUUCAACACUUAUUUCCGUUUAUCAUCAUGUGUGCAAGGUUUUGAGGAAAUGUCAACUUCGAGACGUUGUUCAGUAGAAAGAAGGAAGACUAGACUCCUCAGUGUCACAAGAUGGAUCAAAUUGGAGCAUGGGACAAAGACAAUUAUUUUGUCUUGGAAGAGCAUUGUUAAAAAGAAGAAAAAUAUUAGUUCUUGAUGAAGCAACAGCAUCAAUUGAUAAUGCAACAGAUUCAAUAAUUCAAAAAACGAUAAGGACAGAAUUUGAGGAUUGCACAGUUAUAACAGUAGCUCACAGAAUCCCAACAGUCAUGGAUUGCACUAUGGUUCUUGCUAUAAGUGAUGGGAAUCUGGUAGAGUAUGAUAAGCCAAUGAAACUUAUGAAUAAAGAAAGUUCAUUAUUUGGGCAGCUUGUUAAUGAAUAUUGGUCACAUUCUCAACAUGUUGACAUACAAAUUAAAUCAAUAUGAGUAACCAGUAUGGAACUCAUUAAUAAGAAUUUAAGUUAUGUACAUUUAAUUCGCGCUUACAUGGCAUGUUAUGCUAUUUUUUUUCUAGUUAUCAAUUAAUACUUACUACACAUCAA